AUAGAGUAAAACAAAUGACGCCUG
rnacentral:siRNA from 1 species